rnacentral:lncRNA from 1 species
GGAGGGAGGGAGGCGAGCCAAGCGGGAGAAGCAGGCUGGGCCGCGCGGCUUGGCACAGUGGGAGGAGAGGGGAGGCUGGGGAAAAAAGGAGAGGAGAGGUGGGGUGGGCUGAAAGGAAAGAGAGAGAAAGGAGUGGGCCGUCGGCUUGGGCCGAAAGGGAGGGAAAAGAAAAGAGAGAAAGGGAGAGGGAGAAAAAGGAAGGAAAAAGGGAGAAAAAGGAAGAAAAAGAGAGAAAUAAAACAAAGGGAGAAAAAGAA